rnacentral:rRNA from 1 species
AUGGCAUCUCUUCAGCUCGACUCUACACUACUCCUCUGCCUCCUCUUCGUGGUAUCUUGCUUCACCAUCGUCGCGAGAGGCUUCCGAUAUGGCCGCCGGAGUGCGCAGCCACCUUCGCCACCUGGGCUGCCUAUCAUCGGCAACCUGCUCCAGUUCGGGCGGGGCCGCCAUCACCGGACGCUGGAGGCCCUAGCUCGGCGCCACGGCCCGCUCAUCCUCCUCCGCAUCGGCGCCGUGCGGGCCGUCGUGGUUUCCUCGGCCCCGCUCGCCGACGCGGUGCUCAGGACCCAGGACCACGUCUUCUGCAGCCGCCCGCAGCAGUACAUGACCCGCGGCACGUUCUACGGCUGCCGGGACGUCGCCUUCAGCGCCUACAGCGAGCGCUGGCGCCAACUACGCCGCAUCGCCGUGGUGCACCUCCUCAGCGUGAAGCGGGUCGACUCCUUCCGCGCCCUCCGGGAGGAGGAGGCCGCGCGCUUCGUGGGACGGGUCCGGGCGGCCAGUGGCGCCCAGGAGGACGGCGGCAAACGCCCGGGGGUCAACGUCACCGAGCUCAUCAUCACCCUAACCUACUCCGUGAUCUCGCGGGCGGCUUUCGGGCACAAGCUUGGCGGCGUCGAGCCGGCCAAGGUCCUCUUCAUCCUCGCGUCGAGCCCCGUUGCCCAGUCCACUAGCCACCCUAAUCUCGGGAACACGUCGCUCACGGCGACGGCGGCCAAGCUCGACAUUAUUAUGGAGAGGACCAUCACGGAGCACGAGGAGGACCCAGGAAACGACGGCGAGGCUCGGGACCUCCUGGACGACUUGCUCUCGAUCGCUAAGGAUGGCGACCAGGGGUUUAAGCUGGACCGGAUUGAUGUGAAGGGACUUAUCUUGGACAUGUUCAUAGGUGGCACCGACACGACCUACAAGACGAUAGAAUGGACCAUGGCGGAGCUCAUCAAGAAUCCAAGAGAAAUGGCAAAGGUGCAAUCAGAGGUGAGACAGGUUGCAGCAGGCGCGCAUGGAGGAGUCCUCGAGGAGGAGCUGGGGAAGAUGAACCUCCUGCAGGCGGCCAUGAAAGAGACAUUGCGGCUAUACCCAGCAGUGCCGCUCCUCCUCCCACAUUAG